UCCCCAGUGGCGCAACUGGUUCGCGCGCGGUACUUAUAAUGCCGAUUUUGUGACUUCGAUACUCACCUGGGGAA
rnacentral:tRNA from 1 species